rnacentral:rRNA from 1 species
CUGGUUGAUCCUGCCAGUGGUUAUAUGCUUGUCUCAAAGAUUAAGCCAUGCAUGUCUAAGUACAUACUAAACUAAAGUGAAACCGCGAAUGGCUCAUUAAAUCAGUUAUGGUUCCUUAGAUAUUGACUAUCUACAUGGAUAACUGUGGUAAUUCUAGAGCUAAUACAUGCAAUAAAUCCUUGACCUUAUUGGAAAAGGAGCAUUUAUUAGACCAAGACCAAUGGGACUUCGGUUCCUUUUGGUGGUGACUCUGGAUAACCUUGCUGAUCGCAUGGCCAAUGUGCCGGCGACGAAUCUUUCAAGUGUCUGCCUUAUCAACUGUCGAUGGUAGGUUAUGCGCCUACCAUGGUUGUAACGGGUAACGGGGAAUCAGGGUUCGAUUCCGGAGAGGGAGCCUGAGAAACGGCUACCACAUCCAAGGAAGGCAGCAGGCACGCAAAUUACCCAUUUCCGGCACGGAGAGGUAGUGACGAAAAAUAACAAUCUAGGACUCUAUUGAGGCUCUAGAAUUGGAAUGAGAACAAUUUAAAUCCUUUAACGAGGAUCUAUUGGAGGGCAAGUCUGGU